AGAUUAUUAAACUAUAUGUAACAGUGAAUAUUUCAAGUAACUAAAAAUGUUCUUUCAGCUAUUAUUUUAUUCUGUAAUUAAAUGAAAAAGUUAUGUGUUUGCGAUAUAUUUCUAUGCAGACUUGUUCUAAUGUGAAACAGUCAAUCAGUUAAAAGUGUUUAACUAUAGUCAUAAUAUUUUUGUAAAUACAAAACCUCUUUUGGUUUGAUAAGAUAGAGUGUGUCUAUAUUUCAGAUUCUAGCACAUUCUUUUCUUGCUAAUACUGCCACCUCCCCCAUAUUUGCAACAAUGCUAGUAGAAUAUCUUCUAAAAAGGAUGGAAGAAAUGGAUAGCAAAUAUGGACAGAUCUAACUUGUACAUGAAGCUUUUUGAACUGGUUUUUGGAUCAGUGUCUUUGUUUCCUGCUUAAAAUGAGGAAAUGCUAAAACUCUAUUUACAUCAAAUAGUAAAUAGAUCCAUGGAGCUAGCUUCAAGUGCUAAAGAACCAUAUAAUUAUUUCCUUCUUUGUAGAGCCUUGUUUCGGUCUAUAGGAGGUGGUAGUCAUGAUUUGUUGUAUCAAUAAUUCUUACCUUUAUUACCAAAUUUAUUGCAAGAUAAGUAAAAUAAGUUUUUUUAAUUUAUUUAUUCGUCACAAUUUUUUUUCCUCUAUUAUUUAGAAAAUUUGUUUUUAUUCUAUCAGUUCAUAACUUUAAAAAAAUUCUAAUUACAUCUUUUGCUUAUGCUUUUCUGGGAAUAGAUGAUCUUAAAAAUUUAAAAAUAUAUUUGUGGAAUCGCUAAAAUGAAAUUAAAAUUAGUUAUAUUUCUCAUGAAUUAAAGGUAUUAUUAAAUUUGGUAUGAUAAUUUUGGCAAUGAUGUUUUAAACAAUUAACUGACCACACCUGUUACACUCUCACCUGCCACUCUUUUGUCUUAAGGACUGAAAUCAGUCUUGAGAAAAGAUCAAUGGGCUGAAUUCUCUCCUGGAAUUAAUAUUUAUUUGUAAUUUUUUUAAAUUAAGUUUUAAAAACAAACUUAAAAAAACAUUUUUUUCUUUAAAAAAUACAAUAAUGCAUGUGAGAAUAAAUAAAUAAAAAUAAUCUUUCUAUGAAAAUUUUGUUAUUUUUCAUAAUAAUUGCAAAUGAUAUCACAACACAACAAAAGAAUGUAAUGGACUUCAACAUCUGCUUGUAUGAACAAAAUUUUUAUUGUUGAAUCUGCUUCAGUUAGUGACUUUUCCAAAAUUUUGAGGUGCUGGGUAACUCUCCUUUCCUUUUAAGUUUGAAAAUUGCCUGUAUUCUGUAGCAAUACUUAAAAAAUUUUUCAUUUCACUUUACUAGAGUUAAAAUAUUCCUUUAUUUCUGUGUAAUCUAUUUCUUGUACUGUUUUUUUUUUUUGUUUGAAAAUUAUUAACUUUAGUAUUGUAAAUAUUUAAGAAAUUUUUCUUAAGCUGUUGUAACCAUUUUGGUAUGUUAUAUUUAAAUGCUCUUGCUUUUUUAUGGUAUAAAGUUAUUUAUAUUUACAUGAAAUAUGUGCAGCAUUUUUUGAUUUCAAAAUUUUUACUUUGUCUUUUACCAACUUAAAAAUGAGCUAACACCUACCUUCAAUUUAAGUAAAAAAAAUAAGAAAUCUAUUAGAGCCACUCCUUGACUAUAAUUUGUUUUAACCUCCCCAACAUACUGAGCAUAAAUUUAAACAAUUUCUUGUUACAACUUUUUCAAUCCUUCUUGUAUGUUUACUUAAUCUUCAUAAUUGUUUCAUUCUUUCAUUUAUAUUUGUUAAACAUUUAAUGAUUUACUGUGUUCUAUAUUUUUCCUAUUCUUGUUGCUAAUAAAUUAUAAUUUUUAAUACAUUUUUUUAUUUUAUUAUG
rnacentral:misc_RNA from 1 species